rnacentral:rRNA from 1 species
UACGGAGGGUGCAAGCGUUAUCCGGAUUCACUGGGUUUAAAGGGUGCGUAGGAGGGCAGGGAAGUCCGUGGUGAAAUCCUAGAGCUUAACUCUAGAACUGCCGUGGAUACUCUCUGUCUUGAAUCCCGUGGAGAUGAGCGGAAUAUGUCAUGUAGCGGUGAAAUGCUUAGAUAUGACAUAGAACACCAAUGGCGAAGGCAGCUCGUUACACGAAGAUUGACUCUGAGGCACGAAAGCGUGGGGAGCAAACAGG